UGUCUGCUACCCUCAGGUAUGGUGGGAAAUGAUGUCUCAACACAAUGCUGAAGUAGGUUCAACUACCAAUCUUCUUUAUGUGAAAAGGGGUAGCAUCUUGUCAUUUGCCAGGGAAUGGCUGUAGCUUAGUGGUAGAGCAUCUGCUUUGCAUGUAGAAGAUCUCAGGUUCAAUCCAUAGCACCUUCAAGCAAGGCUGGAAAUGCCCCCUCCUUUUAAAACCCUUGGAGUGCUGCUGCCAUUCAGUAUAGAGAAUACUGAGCUAGUUGAACCAGUUAUAUCAAUUAGCUUCCUAUAUUCUUUUAGGGAAGGUCCCUAGGCUCCAUCAGGAUUUAGCAUGGUCUGGCAACCCCAGACAGACUAGGAAGAGAAGGAAGAAGGAGCAGAUGGUGUGGUAGUGGGAGGCUGGCAUCCAAGGAUGGAGGAGAGAGGCCCUCUCCUUGUGUCAGAGCAAUCUGGCUCUCCACUCCACCCCUCUGGCAGAACACAAAACCUUAUCAGGGUGGAGGACUUAUCAGGGAGGGUGGAGGAGCUGAACAGGAGGUGGCAGUGGCAAUGCUGGAGGCAAAGGGACAGUACAGUCAUGUCACUGAGAACCAGGCACUGUCUUAGUAGGUGUGAUCAGAUGCAUCUGGCAAGAUGAAGUGUACUCACAGAAGACUUAUAGGACAAGAGAGUCCCAUGAGUUCACCCCACCUUGUCUUUAAAAGCUUGGCAGGAGGGGCAUCUUCAUAGCUUCCAUCUGGUUAUGAAUCUCUUACUUUGCUAAUGUACUUUGAAAUCUUGACUUCCAGACCUUGUACUUGCUGCUGAGCAUGUACUGCAAUUAGUCUGAAUAAAUAUAUCUUCCUUCCUUAAAUGAAAAAAAGAGUCCAUGUUAUGUUUUAGGGUGGGAGCCUGACAGAAGGGUGUAGCUCUGUAGCAGAGCACCAACUUUGUAGAAUAACCAGCGUCAUAUAACCAACAUGCUUAAGUCUAAUUAAUGCAUGAAGGGGUUAAGACUAUAGAGCAAGUUAUGUUUGAGGAGGUCUGAGCUGGUUGCUGCAGCUCAGACUGCGUGGCUCUUAUAAGCCACUCUUGAGUUCCUAUACCAAUAAUUUAGGAACUUUUACCACUGUAACCAAUCCAUGUUUUACUGCAUGUGCAACUGUUUCUGAAUGCUGUAUAGAAAGACACAUGAAACUGACCUUUGGAGAGUUUGUAAGUAAAACAAUGUUAGUUUACCAAACGCGUGGUCUUUUUCUAUAAGAGAAGAAGGAAGUUUUAGAACCCACAAGGGUAUAUCUUAAAGGUCUAACGGCCUAUAUUUUCAUGCAUUACUUUGUUGCAUAUUUUCUGAUUUAAAAUCUCUGCUGGGGUUCUCUCACCAAAGAGCAUUUGCACCAAACGUGGAUCUUGGCAUCCAUGAAUUCUCUUUUUUAUACUUAUUUUGUUCCUUGCAACCAACAGAAUUUGCAUGAAUAAGGUCUCAGCUCAAUACCUGGCAUUUCCAGGUAGGACUGGCAAUGCCCCUUGUCAGAAACCUCAGAUAGCUGUUGCCGCCAGUGUACACAACAUGGAGCUAGAUGGACCAAUGUUCUCAUUUGGUCUUAGGCAGGUUCCAGUGUUUGCUUCAGGCAGAAAAAAUUCAUUGGGCUGGCUCUGCUCUCCUUCUGCAAGUUCUUGGCAGUCCACAAACCAUACCAGUAGUUAAAAGUUGUCUUAAGAUCCCAUCCGCUUUCUCUGGUACCGGAUCCUACUGUGCAACUUGCCUCUGGCCAUCCGCAUUUUCGCAGAUAUUUCAUUAGUGUUCCGGCAAUGACACUAACUUGCUAAUGAUCCCUUAACAUUUAAUAAACACAGCCCAGGAGUUUUAUAACCUGUUAGCUUGUGAGUGGCGGUAAUUAGGCACAAUAAUGAUAAAUAAUUAAGGACUAAUUACACAAAAUCAGUAAUUUCAUUUUCCAGCAGAGCGCACAUUUUUUUCCUGUUCAUUUGCUCUGCUGAUUGGGGGGUCCAUCUGUGGUUCUAUUUCCCCUUGUUUGUCAUUGGAUGGAGAGUCCCUGGUCCUUGCUGCUUUACGGGGGAGAAAUAAGAUGGAAAGUGUUCAAUUAUGGAGGCAAUUGUCCAAUUCAUCUCAAAAGAGAAGUUGCAGCAAGGCUAUUGUUAGGCAUGAGUUUGGUGAAGGGAAAAAAAGCAGAGUUGUAAAAGGGUUUUAAUUCCUUACAUAGCCAGAGGGCUCAUGAACACCAAACAUGAGGCUGGAGGAAGCUCUCUAUUCAACCCUGGAAGUAAGCUCCGUUUUUCUUAAGUUCUGAAACCCCUCUUCAGUGCAAAGAAUGUUAACAAGCUGGAAAUAAGGCCGAAAUGAGCAGGAGGGAAAAUGUCAAAAGAAUGGAGGAACAAAAAAUCAUGCCUGGAAAGGUGUCCAAUCAAGAUGAAAUGAGAUUGGGAGUAUAUAUUUGUGCCAUGAAGAAGAGCUUAUGGAGGCAGAUGUGCCAGUGGUGGUGAGG